ensembl:lncRNA
CAGGAUCUCUACAGUGACAGGAAUACCCCUGUAUCAGCAAUUCCAAUUUUGCAGGACCUCCACUGUAGCAGAACCUUCAAUUGUGCAGCAGCUCCCCUGUAAGUAGAUUGACCGCCACGAUCUCAGUGCCUCCACUUUCAAAGGACCUUCACUGUCACAGAACCGGCGCUAUUUCAGUGCCUCCACUGUCACAGGACCUACCUCUUCACAGGAUCUGCACUGUUGCAGCAACUGUUGGACAACUAGGUGCCCAUGACCAACUCCUCAUUGUGGAUGGAUUUAGUCUGGUUGGACUUUCUCAGGAAAGGCAGCUGAACUCAUGACUAGUACCAGUUCCACGGUUACCCUGGAAGUUGCAAAUCAAGACAUCCUCUCUCACUGCCUGUCCACCUUUCUUACCCACC